AGUUCAGUUGGUAGAGCAUGAGACUCUUAAUCUCAGGAUCAUGGGUUCAGGCCUAU
rnacentral:tRNA from 1 species